rnacentral:lncRNA from 1 species
ACAGGCCAGAAAGAGGCGAGGUCCUCCCCAUCGCCGCCCCUGGAACCUCCCACCAGCCCAGCACAGCUCUCACAGCCUCACCGCCCCAGGUCGGGCAGUCAGAAGCAGACCAUGCCACAGAUGAACAUGGGAAGAGUUAGCUGUGAAGCCUUGGGCUGUCGUCCGCCUCCAACCCCUGGGGCUCUGACCACACCCAGCCCCAGCUCAGAUCAUCUUGCUCAAAGGGCUGAAGGAGGACCCAUCUCCACACCUUCCACAUGUAGAUAUCCUCAACGUUCUUCACAGAGGGGAUGCCCGCACCCCGCCCCACCGAGUUCGCGGCUGCUGUGCCCAUCUUCCUAGAGAGGAGUUCUCCGCCACACCCGACACCACACACUUCCAACUUCUGCGGUGCUUCCCUCUCACUUAUCUCCACCCCCAAUCCUUAUCCCCGCUCGUUUAAUCACACAUUU